rnacentral:rRNA from 1 species
AUGGAGGGGGAGAGGGGGCGGGUGCUGGUGGUGGGCGGGAGCGGCUACCUCGGCCAGCACCUCCUCGCCGCGCUCGCCGUCCACGGCAGCGUCGACGUCGACGUGGCCUUCACCCACCACCGCGGGACCGCGCCGCGGCCGCUCCUCGACGCGCUCCCCGGCGCCCGCGCCUUCCGCGCCGACCUCCGCUCCGGCGACGGCCUCCAGGCCGUCGCCGCGUCCUUCGGCCAGCCACAUGUGAUUGUGAACUGUGCUGCAAUCUCGGUUCCUCGGGCGUGCGAAGCGGACCCAGCUGCUGCCAUGGCCACUAAUGUGCCUUCUUCACUUGUUGAUUGGUCGCUGAGCUUCGGGAAUGACAGGACUCUUUUGAUUCAUCUCUCCACAGAUCAAGUUUAUGAGGGGGUGAAAUCCUUCUACAAAGAGGAGGAUGAGACACUGCCGGUGAACAUGUAUGGCAAAUCAAAAGUUGCUGCAGAGAAGUUCAUUACUGAGAAAUGCUCAAACUAUGCAAUCUUGAGAAGCAGCAUCAUUUACGGGCCACAAACAAUCUCUCCUGUUGAAAAGUCGCUCCCUAUCCAGUGGAUGAACUCUGUCCUUUCACAAGGCCAACAAGUUGAUUUUUUUAAUGAUGAGUACCGCUGCCCAGUUUAUGUAAAAGAUAUGGUGGAUGUAAUAUUGUCUUUAACAAAAAGUUGGUUAUCAGAUGGCAAAAAAAUUCAGGUACUUCUGAAUGUAGGUGGACCAGAUAGGGUUUCAAGACUGCAGAUGGCUGAGUCUGUUGCUGAAGUUCGUGGAUACAGCAAGUCGAUAAUCAAAUCUGUGCCUGCAUCAUCGGUUAACCGGGGUGUAGCUUCACCGCCAGACAUAUCCAUGGAUAUCACCAGGCUAACUCAGACGCUCGGUAUCCAGCCGAUUACAUUUCUGGAUGGAGUCAGAGCUACACUUGACGCAGAAGCCAGUACAUGA